rnacentral:rRNA from 1 species
ACCACAACGGGUGGAGCUUGCGGUUUAAUUGGAUUCAACGCCGGAAAUCUUACCGGGACGACAGCAAUAUGAAGGCCAGGCUGAAGACUUUGCCGGAUUAGCUGAGAGGUGGUGCAUGGCCGUCGUCAGUUCGUACUGUGAAGCGUCCUGUUAAGUCGGGCAACGAGCGAGACCCACGCCCACAGUUGCCAGCGUACUCUCUGGAGUGACGGGUACACUGUGGGGACCGCCGCUGCUAAAGCGGAGGAAGGAAUGGGCAACGGUAGGUCAGUAUGCCCCGAAUAUCCCGGGCUACACGCGAGCUACAAUGGUUGGUACAAUGGGUAUCUACCCCGAAAGGGGACGGGAAUCUCCUAAAACCAAUCUUAGUUCGGAUUGAGGGCUGCAACUCGCCCUCAUGAAGCCGGAAUCCGUAGUAAUCGCGUUUCAACAGAACGCGGUGAAUACGUCCCUGCUCCUU